rnacentral:piRNA from 1 species
UCUGAACUGCAGGGAAACAGAGUUGCCCCA